UAAAUUGAAUGAAUAUCGUUGGAUGACCUCCGGGUUCAUCCCUAAUCGAUAUGAACUAAUCUAGAAGGUCUCCCGGUCCCUGUUGGAGCUUCUUCCACCCUUUUGGUGAAACAGGGUUCCAAAGAAAGCGCGAAGACGAGGAAACCAUGACUCGUUUAAGCACUGAGCAGAUCUUACGGGAGAAGCAGAGCGGCGACCCUAACUCUGUUACUGUUCUUCUUCUUCAUCAAAAAGCUCUAUCUGAUGUUUCUUGUUUGAACGACUUCAAGAGCUUGGAGAAACUCGACCUGGGUUUCAAUAAUCUUUCAUCUCUCGAGGGUUUAAGGUCGUGCGUCAAUUUAAAGUGGCUGUCAGUCUUACAAAACAAGCUCCAAAGCUUGAAAGGAAUUGAAAGCCUUUCUAAGCUUACUGUCUUAAAUGCUGGCAGGAAUAAGUUGAAAGCAAUGGAUGAAGUCGGGUCUCUCAUAAGGUUACGGGCCCUGAUUCUGAAUGAUAAUGAGAUAGCUUCCAUUUGCAAGCUUGAUGAACUGAAGGAAUUGACCACUCUUGUUCUUUCUAGAAAUCCAAUUUGUGAAAUUGGCAACUCCUUGGUCAAGCUGAAAUCAAUCACAAAGCUGUCACUCUCCAAUUGUCAACUUCAAGCCAUUGGGUCUUUGCUCAAUUCAUGUGUGCAUUUGAGAGAGGUUCGACUUGCUCACAAUGAAAUCACGACUCUACCAGAUGCUAUGGCUCAUAACAUAAAGAUCCGAAACCUUGAUUUGGGGAACAAUUUGAUUAUCAGCUGGUCAGACCUGAAGGUACUUUCUUCUUUAAGCAACCUGAAAAACCUGAAUCUGCAAGGAAACCCAGUUGCCAAAAGGGAUAACUUAGCCAAAAAGGUCAAAAAAUUAGUGCCAAACUUGCAGAUAUUCAACGGCAAGCCUAUAGAAGGAAGCAAUAAAGCCCUCAAACAAGAUCUUGAGGCUCAUAAAAUUGAUGGAUCUCGUAUUGAUAAUACUUCUGAUCUGGAAGACCUGCAUGCAGAGAAGAGAGAAAGCCCUAGGAGAAAUAAGAACAUCGUCUCUGGCAGUGGCAAGGAUGACAUUACAUUAGAUAAUCAAGUAAAGAGAAAAUCAAAGAUAGAAAAGAAUAAAAUUGACAUGAUAGACGUGGGGAAGGAAGGAAAGCAGAAGAGGCUGACAACAAAGGAGGAGAAAAAUGUUUCAGGCAGUAGCAAGAGAAAGUCAAAGGCAGAAAAGAGUGAUCUUGAUGUGAUAGAUGAUGGUGAAACUCCAUUCAUGGAUCUUAUUGUUUCUGGUGGUGCUGAGAAUCUUAUGGAUGGUGCUGGCAAGAAAAAGAAAUACAUUCAAAAUGUCGAAUCUCUUGACAGUUCAGCUAAAUUCCCUUCUAAGAGGAAGAAAUCAGGAACGUUCGUAGGUGUGGGUCAUUCAGCAAUGGAAUUCCUGUUGCCUGCCACUGAAGUCGGAAUGGGUGGCCCUUCAGCAUGGGAUGAAUAAUAUAGGUAGUAAUUUUACAUCUAUGAUGCUCCAGGGAUGCAGGCUUCUGGUGGCCAUCUCUCACAUAACCAGUCCCAAAAUUCCCAGUUUUGAAGCGUUGAAACUCCUUUUACUCUUCUUCUAAUCAAGCGCGAUAUGAUAUGUUUCUCUAAAAACUUGGUUUCUUUCUUUUUUCCCUAUAUCAGUUAUGGAAGACGAUGUUUCACAAGCUAAUACUGGAGAUGAGAAGUCAUUAGCGCAUCGAGAAUGUGGUCAAGGGCAAGGAAUUCCAUGAGAUGUUUGCUGGAAAUCCAGUGUCACAGUAUUUAAGGAAGCUGUGUAGACCAAUGCAACACUCGGAUGUCUGGGAAAUUGAUGUAGGGCUUACUUUUGUGUCGUAGAAAUAGCCUCUCCUCAAAGCGAGGCCAUACGGAACGGUGAAUUGAAUCCUAUGGUUUAUGCUAGAGUUUGGCACUGUAAUCCAUGAAGAAGAUAUUGCUCUCUACUCUCUAGUGUAACAUACAAUACAAUUUCUUAGCAUUGGUGUGAUGUGGACGACUCAGACAAUUGCCUGGACUGAAUGAGCCCAAUAACUGAAAGAGCAAGCGUGGGCGUGCAUACCAGUGCCUUAAGAGGGGUAACAAUUCUAAAGAGGAUUGGCAGGUACAUGGAGCCCGCCUCCUGAAGACUGCCAUUGCAAGAGGCACUGUGUGGUCUUUCUUUUUCUUUUUCUUUUUCUUUUUCUUUUUCUUUUUCUUUUUUCUUUUUUUGGGGGGAGUGGGGGAGGGGAUGCGAGUCGGAUGGGUUUCAAUCAUGGAUUCAAUAAUUGGAAAUGGAUCGGCCGAGGCCAAUCCUAAUUCUGGAUGA